GGAGAGCGCGACGGAGCGCCGCCUGAUUCUUCUGGCUCAGGGAAGCAGAGGAGGCAUGUGAGAGCCAGAGGAGGGACGAGCGGCCCAGAGUUAUCCUUUGAGCGCCGGGUCCGGGCCGCAGAGUUCAGGCAAGACAGAGCCCACACUGUAAACAGAGGCACUCCCCAGAGCCAGACAGCUGCACGAACUCAGGGAGGAAGAAGAAAAAACUGAUUUCACAGAGGUGCCAUGAGGUAAGAAGCCAUUCUUCCUAGAGUGAUCGCGUGUGCUUCCAGCUUCCUCAGCCUCAACCCUACUCUUAAUCAGACUCCAAGAUCAAUCUUGGCUGCAAACUUCACUGGUGAGCAGGGAGAAGCCGCCAGCAAUGGACAGCUCCACCUUUUCUCAUGGCUCAGCCUGUGGAGGACUUUGCUCUCUCAGACACGAAGAGAAAAGAGAACUUCAGGACAAGAGGAGGGGACAGUGGUCAGAAGCGCUGAGAAGCAAGAGAAGGCCACUCGAUGGGGUGGCCUCCAGCCCAGUGUCCGGACAGGAUCCCAGGAUCCGGAGCACCUGCCAGUCCUGAGGAGGGAUCCAGGCGGGCAGGGGCGGAGCUGAGCUGUCUGGGCCAGACUAGGUCACCAGAACAUGGUGCCCAGGGAACAUCAUCGUUGCCAAAGUCAGCUUACCUCCUCGCUGCCAGGUGAGUAAGGCCCAGAGAGGUGAAGCAACCUGCAGGCCAGAAGCAGGGACUUGGCCCACCAACGCCAGUGCUGGGUGCGCCACGCCUGCCACCAGCAAAAAGCCCCCUCUGGUCAGAAGCCCUGGUGAGAGACAGGUUCUGCCCCACGUGCGUGGGGUGAGUUUGGCUAAACUCACCCUCCCUGAGCCUCAGCUUUCUCCUGGUUCAGCAGGAGAACCCCCGUCCUCACCUCCCAGGGCAGUUGUGAGGAUCAGAGAAGAAAUGCGGGGAUCAGUUUCAUUGCUUUGAGAAAGUAAAGGCUUUAUCAUACCCUGUUUCUUGACUCAUGGGAGCUAAAAUGAUUCUGUAAAUCAAAUAUCUGGACUCAACCCCACUUAAGAUGGCCAAGGAAAGGGUCAGGAGGAACAACCCAGCCUCCUUUGGCCCCUUCUACCCACCUUGGCCUUGGCCCAGAGUUCUAGCUCCAGCCCCAACCCACUCCCCACUGCCCCCCAGUGCUCUGCCUCCCUUCUUACCCACUCCUUUCCCUGCUCCUGGGGCUUCCAGCCCCUGAACUCUGGCCCCUCAUUCUCCCCACCUUGCCUGACUCCUGUCCCAGUCUCCUCCCAGCCUGUGUCACUGUUCCCCACAGGGUCAAUCUAGAUGCUCAGCCGGUGACUGGGCAGGACAGACAGCUCCAAUCCGUGGCCUCCUCAUGCACCCCCUGAGCCAGGAACUCGGCUGGGCUGCCUUGUGGCUCUGGUCCAGGACCUGCUCAGGAGUGCAGUGGUCUCCACCUGGGAUGGAGCAGCCGAGGGCACUGGAGAAAAGAGAAAGAGGCAAUGCUGUGGGCAGGGGGAGGCAGUUAGUUCAGGAAUUCAUUCAUUCAUGUAUCAAUCCUUCCACUUACCGAAAGCCCAAACAUACCACGCACUAGGACUAUAGAGAUGAGUAAGACGUUGAUUAUAACCUGCAGGCACCAACUCAAAAUACGGUGAGGUGAGGGCAGUGCCAAAGAGAGGCCCUGGAUGCCAGGGGCCACCUAGUACAGGCUGGGGGAUGCAGCAGGGUCCUGAAGGUGUUGGGGGCAUUCAGCCAGGCUCUUCUCAGCUGGUUGGACCCUCCCCAGGGAUGCAGUCUUGUAGCUUAGGGAACUGGGGUGAAGAGACAAGGCAGGGUUUGAAUGGGUGGAGGUCGUUGGCACUCCUAGGCAGAGCUCAGACCAGUCUGCCCUGCCCUCACAUCUCUAAUUUCCAGUUCCCAUUCCCAGACCCCCGCCGGACCUUCUGGCCAUCCACCCACCCUCACCCUUGCUACACAUACACAUCUAGCAAUGACCUUGAUUUUCACUACUCUGUGCUCUCUCCAUAAGAUUGGAUUUCUUCUGAACAUUUCUGCUUUCCGCCAGUUCCCCUCACCUGGCAGCCCAGGUUAUGCUUUGUCACUUCCUGGGUCAGCAUAUCCUCCAAUGGUUUGAAGUCCCUGGAGAAGCAGACUGUGUGCUUAGACCCCUCCUUUUCUGUGACUAGUAGCUGGAAUAGUGGUGCCUCCUGCCAGCAGAGUUGGGCCAUGGGGCUGGCCUUGGCCACUGCCCCCAGUAGGAUCCCACCAAGGCCCUGGAGAAGGAGAAAGACAGAAAGAGGUGGGCAGGGCCAGGGGGACCUCCAGUGAAGGUGGAAAGAGGGUGCAUCUGAGGACUGGGAGGGCUGAGCCUGCCCUGAGAGGAUGAGGAGUGGAUGGUGCAGGGGCGGAGUGUCUUCCGGGGAGGCCAGAUGAAGAGGCGACACCCAGUGAUUCUCAGAGUUCCUCAUUUGUAUCCCCCCUCCACCCCCGUCCUCUAAAAAUGAAUGCUUUGGCUCCUUCCUCCCAAUCUCCAACUUGUCUUGGAGGGCCUUGGGGUUAAGGAGGUUAACAUGGCUGACAGGCGAUCCAGGCAGGAUGAUUAUAGGGUUGAGAACGUGGUGUGGGAGAGGAUGGUAAUUACACAGUAAGAUCCUCUCUGGGGGCUUCAGGAUUUGUGGGCAGAGACCUGGGAGGGGUCCGUUUCACCAACAUACUAUCCCCAGCCCAGAAUAGCCUCACCACACCACAUUCCCAGUGGCUCCUUCUGGGAGAGGAGGGGUGAGGGAAGCCCCUCCUGGGGAAGCCCCCACCCCAGCUUCCUCUCAAUGGUCCAGCCCUUCCCCUCCUUGGAAAGACCUGUGAUGCCAGGGAAUGAGUCCUCUGACUCUAGAAAUAGGCCUUUAGGAGGAAGAAGCAAGAAGAGCUGGGUUAGAGGUCAUGAGUUACUGCCCACUGAGCCCAGCUCCGAUAGACAAGGCAAUUUGGGUGUGCGAGUGGCCUUUGUGGUAGGAGUGCAGAAUAGCAAGAGUCCCUCCUCCUUAACGUGGUUCCCCUGUUCUGGGGUCAGCAGCUCUGAGAGUGGUCCAGGUGUCUCUGGCCUCGAACCUGGUGACCGGCUCCCAAGACCUACAGUUCCUCUUCCUGGGGAUGUAACAUAAGAAACCCUCUACCCAAGGCUACACAAGCACCUCUUUCCUCCAGCAGCUGAAACCUCAUCACUGCUUCUCUCCCGGCAGCUCAACACUCUUCAAAGCUCAGUGACUCCCUUAGCCCCAAACCCACAUUUGCUAUGAACCAGUCAGGACCUUGAAGAAGGCGGGCCGAAGGUUGCCUAGGUAACACCGCCAAGGGGCACCCCUGGCUGGAAGACAGUUGCCUGGGAAACCAGGGCAGUGGGCGGGGCCCCAAACCCCAGUUAGCCUGUGUUGGGAUGAGGAAAGAUCUAAAUGUUCACAUCUCUCCCAACUCCUUUUCUGUAAAGACAGCAGGGUCCCCUCCUCUGGACUGGGUCUACGGCAGCCGGAAAUCUGAAGCUCCUGAAAGAGACUCGCAGGGUUUACCUGCAACCCAAGGGAACCCAAUAGUACCAAGCCUGAGGCAACUCGAGGAAAGAGGCAAGAUCUAGGAGGGGUUGGAGACAGGAACAAAGCUUAAUAAAUUAUGGUACAGAACUUGGAAUAGAAAUCUAAAGUGGAAAUAUGCAAAGCAUGCCCCCCCCAAAAAAACCCCACCAAAAAAGUGGUUUUAGUCCCACGGCCAAGAAUCAGAAGCUCAAGAAUCCACCACCAGAUGGCAAUGUUGCCCACUCAUUGGAUUAAGUGCAGUCCUGGAACCCGCCGGGAGGAAGCCAGAAGAUGGAAAUCCUUUUUGUCACACAAGUUGUUCCUGACUCUUGCUCGCUGGUAUUUGGCAGAUACCCAUAACUUCUUAUGGUCAUAAAUACACAGUUUUAUUUCCCCAACCUGGCUCUGACCCGAUCCAGUUAGCAGACCUCAUUCUUUUUUUUAACUGGGUUUUUUUUGGCGGGAGGUUGGAUCUGUUUUACUUACUUAGUUACUUACUUAUUUAUAGAUGAGGCACUGGGGCUUGAACCCAGGACCUCUUGCGUGCUAAGCAUGUGCUCUAUCACUUGAGCUGUACCCUCCCCGGUUCACUCAUUCUUUACUCAAAGCAGCUAAGGAAUACUUUGCUAAAAAUAUUCCCACUCCCUUGGGUCUCACAGUGUGAGGCUGAUAAAUUGGGGUAGUAAUAAUGGCUGCUUAUCUCAUUUAAAACUGUGUGUCAGGCAGUUAAUCCUCAGAACCUUAUGAAGUAGGUACAGUAUUGUUAUCUUCAUCUUACAGAUGAGGCAUCUGAGGCCUAGAGCCAAGUUCACAUAGCCAGAAAAGGGGCAGAGCUAGGACUUGAACCCAGGCAGCCGAGGUUGAGUCUAGAAGCUGUGUGACUAACCUCUGUGAGACACAGGAUGGUGCAGAUGUAGCUAGGAGAAGCAUCUACUCUAGACCUGGGAGUCAGGAAUGGACUCCUGGACAGCAUGUCUAAAAUCUCAUCUAUACUGAGACCUGAAAAAAGAGUAAAUUGGGGGAGGGGGCAGUGGCAGGAGGAGGCGGAGUUGUCCUUGGAAGAGGAAACAAUUUGUGCAAAGAUGCAGAGAUAAUCAAGAGAAAGAGGGUGGAGGUGACAUCCAGGUUUUUCGCCUGGAUGAUUGAGUGUCAUUCAUUAAAAUGAAACACAGCCGGAUGGAGGCACAAUUUAGGGGAGAGAAGAAGUUGUCUGUCACAUUUAACCUAUGAGGUUUAAGGUGACUUGGGACAUCCAGACGGAGAUAUCAACGAGGCAUCUGGCCUGGAGUUCUAGCCAGUAUCGUUUACAGUGUCCUGUCUACUCUGUUCCCUGAAAGGGGGUCUAAGUCUUAUUGCUCUUUGC